rnacentral:lncRNA from 1 species
GCUAAUCCUAAACCGGGUUUGGGUGCAGAUAUUUUUGGACUUGGACCAAAGUGUGAUGGUAAACUUAGAUCAGUAACAGAAGAAGAAGAAGCAUGUAUAUGAGUAGGAAUAGAAAGAGGGUUACCUGAGACAUUUAGAGAGCCAUUGCCCAGGGCUUUCGGUUGACCAUGUGCUGGGAUGAUCAGCUGGUCUUUACUUUUUUCAGGGACUUUUUUCCUUGAAUAAACCACAAGCUCAAGAUUGUUUCUAUUUUUUUUCAUUCGUAGUAUUUCUUCUUCUGAUAGACCAAUUUCAGAUUCGGAUUCAGUAGGCUUAGUUUCCUUAUUUUCUUUUUCAAGAGAGAUAUCAAGAAUUACACUAGACAAAGGUUCAACAAUUUCCCAAAAAUUUGGUUCCACUAAUUUUUCCCCCUGAAGUAAAUUUUUGGUAAAAUAUGGGACAUUUUCCAUAAAGGAAACAUCCAUAGUUGUGUAAAAACGUUUUGUAAGGGGAUUAAAACAUUUGUAACCCUUUUUAUUAGGAGUAUAUCCUACAAAAACACAUUUUUCUGCUCUUGGGUCUAACUUAGAUCUUGACCUUUUUGGAAUGUGUACAUAUGCAGUGCAACCAAAUAUUUUCAAGGGUAAUUCAGAAUUAAUUCGAGAUUCUGGAAAUACCUUUUUCAAGCACUCCAAAGGAGUGGUAUACUGCAAAAUUUUUGUAGGAAUCCUAUUGAUUAGAUAUGAAGCAGUUAGUAUGACAUCCCCCCAUAAGUAUUUUGGAAUAUUCAUGUAAAACAUCAUAGCCCGUGCUACUUCUAACAAGUGUUUAUUUUUACGUUCAGCUAUUCCAGUCUGUUUAGGGGUAUCAGAACACAAGGAUUGAUGUAAAAUUCCUUUCUCGUUUGAAAAGGUUUCCAAAACUUUAUUAAAGUACUCAGUCCCAUUAUCAGAUCUCAAAAUACUGAUUUUUGUUUGAAAUUGGUUUUCAAUCAUUCUGUAAAAUUCUUUAAAAAUCCUUUCGACUUCAGAUUUUUCCCUCAUUAAAUAUACCCAACAAAGACGUGUAUGGUCGUCUAUAAAGGUCACAAACCAUUUUUUUCCUGAAAUUGUGGUUACUUUUGAAGGUCCCCAAACAUCACUGUGAAAAAGAUAAAAUGGUUUUGAUGCAUAGUAGGGUUUUGGAAUGUAAGUUUUUCUUUAGCUAUUUGCCAAUAAACAACUUUCACAUUGAAAUGAUAAAGGGUCAACCUUUUGAAAUAACAUUGGAAAUAAAUGUUUUAAAUAAGAGAAACUAGGAUGGCCUAAUCUGCAAUGCCAAACCAUUAUUUGAUCAUGAACAGAAAGAGAACUAAUACUACUUAGUCCUUGAGCAAUUUUAUUACUAGGUAAGUUAUCCUCGAAAUAAUAGAGGCCAUUGAUCAUCCUAGCACUGCCAAUUGUCUUCCCCGAGCUCUGGUCCUGAAAAAUACAAUGGGAUUUAUAGAAGAUAACACAACAAUUAGAAUCUCUAGAUAAUUUGCUAACAGACAAGAGAUUACAAGUAAGUUUAGGAACAUGGAGAACAGAUUAAGAUCUAUUCCCUCAGAGAUUUUUAUUAGACCUUUUCUUGCAAUAGGUGAGAAAUUACUAUUAGCUAUCCGAACCUUUUUAUUUCCAGGACACGGUGAAUAGGAUUCAAACAUGUUUGAGGAAUUGGUCAUGUGGUCGGAUGCUCCAGAAUCGAUUAUCCAUGGAGUAGAUUUAAAACGACAAGAUAGAGCAUAUAAUUCAUUACUUGUGUGUGCCAAAGAAACACUAGAAGUACUGGAUGUCAAGUUGGAUUUCAGCAGUGCAAGAAGAUGCUCCAUUUGCGCAGUGGUGAAGAGGCUGGUCUCAGUCUCAUUAGCAGUAGGAAUAAUGGCUCGGCCUGGUUUGUCACCUGUUUUUCCUUUCCAAUUUGCAAGUUUCCCAUGAAUUUUCCAAUAGUUUUCACGAGUAUGGCGAGGUUUGUUGCAAAAAUCACACCAAACUUGUGGUCUUUCAUCUCAUUUGCGCUGAAAUGCAGCAGCUUUAUUAUAGCCUCCACUCGUGGUAACCAAGGCCGAACCUUCAAUAGCAACUCCAGGUCCCUUCUUGCCCAGCAUCACAUUCCUCCGACUUUCUUCUCUUUUAACUUCUGAAAAAACUUCACCAAUUGAAGACAGGGGUUGUCUUCCAAUGAUUCUCCCCCUUACCUCAUCAAACUCGACAUUAAGGCCAACCAAGAACUUGAAGAUCCGAUUGUCUUCCAUGGUCUUCUUAUGAUGAAGUCCAUCCUCGGCAGAUUUCCACUUAUAGGUGUUGAAGAGGUCAAGGUUUUGCCAGAUCCGCUUCAAGGAGUUGAAGUACUUUGUGACGUUGUCCUCCCCUUGUCGUAUCUCACCAAGUUUGAGGGUUAAUUCAAAGAUCCGUGAUUGAUUCCCUAAAUCAGAAUACAUCUGAUUUACAUUCUCCCAAAGCUCUUGUGCUGUUGGAUAACACAUGUAAUUAGAGCUAAUGUCUUCUUCCAUAGAAUUCACAAGCCAUGUCAUCACCAUGGAAUUCUCGGCAUCCCAUAUAGCAUAGUUUGGAUCAUCCACUGCAGGAGCCUUCUUUUCACCCGUCAGGUAGCCCAUCUUUCCACGUCCUCUGAUGUACAUCCAAACUGAUUGAGACCAUCUUAGAAAAUUGUCGCCAUUCAAGUGAAUCGUGGUGAUUUGGACAGAGUGAGAUUUCGAGGUGGUAGGACUGAUUUUUGAAGAAUCAAUGAUGAUGGGAUUGUUCAGAGAAGGUUGAGGAACAGUAGUGGACUCGUUUGAAAUAUCCAACAUGGUUUCAGAGAAUAGGGAUUGAAAGAGAGGAAGAAGGAGGAUUUCGGCAAGCAAAUUGCUAGCUUUGAUACCAAGUUGAAGAAUAGGGUUUCACGGGAAUAAUUUUCUUUCAUUGAGAUUAUUCUUUUAUAGAGUUUACAACAUAUACAAAUCCUUCAAAUUAGGAAACUAAAUCACUGAUUAAAAGGAAAGAAUAACUCCUAAUAAUUACUUUCCUAAAAAUACAAAGAUUGACAACUAAUAAAUAAUUUACAGCUUUACAAAGUUAUUUCUUUCCAUAUCAGUUUCGGUUUUCCAACAAUACGAAAGUAGAACAGCAAGAAAAAAAUGUAAAUUCUCUUAAAUAAUUCUGAAUAAUAAUAAUAAUAGCUGCAAAUUAUGUCCCUAUUUAUAAGUAAUUGAAGAAUGUUAAAAAAAUAAAAACUAACUGAUAGAUACUAGUUGACAUGGGAAAACACAAAGUGAUAAGAGUUGAGCUCUUGAUUUUGAUAAAAAUUGAAAUCCUAAUUUGAUGUGAACAGGAAUCCUUUUAUCUCCUACUUCUACACCUAUAAUAAACUUGAAAUGGGUGGUCUUGAUCCCCAUCAGUAGGUAGUAUUGUAUUUCUUUGUUACGCUAUAUUGUGAUGUUAGAAACAAACUAAGAGGGUGUUUGGUAAAUAGAGAAUGACUUAAUAUGACAAUUUAAGUCAUUAAGCUUAUCAAGGCCUUGUUUGGAUUGAUUUUCGAGAAACUAAAAACUCUUUUCUAUGUCUGCUUGAUUAAUUUCAUUGAACGAACUUAUGGCUUAAAAAAGAGCUUAAUAUGGAAACCAAGAAAAUGUUGCUUCUCGUAAAAACUCUAUUUUGGCUUAUGUAAGAAGUUCUUUAAUGUUUAAUAAAACUUUUACAAUACCAAUAUUACCCUUUAAAUUCAUUGACUCUGGCUUCGGUUGUAGCUUCCAACUUAAGCAAAAAAGGAAGCUAUCCCAAACAAGGCCUAAAUAUGUUUCAUAAAACAAAUUAAUAUUUGGACUUAAAAUUAAAAAUGACGUAAAUAAUAACUUAAAAUAAAUAUCAUUUUUUAAAUCCCAAAUAUUUUUUGCUUAGUUGCUGUGUCUCGUAUCUCCUUUAUUUUCUCUUAUAACCUCAUUACUUAAUAUCAAUAGGGGUUGUUAUGUCAAUUGAAUGGUUAAAGGAAAAUUGUAAGUUGAUUUUACGUCAAACAACCUUAAUGAUUAAAGCAAGAAAUUAAGUAAUAAGUUUUUAGUUAACAACAUAAACAUAAUUUAAAUUAAAAGUCAUCUUUAGUCAUUACGCAUUAAGUGUUAAGUUUUACCAAAUACCAUCUAAGAAUGGUGUUUAACUUAUUGACUUAUGAAGUCAAAACUGAUUUUUCAUCAGAAAUCUGCUUAACAAUUACAACUUUUUUUUUUUUUAAAUAUUUAAUAAGUUCCAUAAAAAGGUUCCUAAAGUUUUAAUAUAUUCCAUUGGACUUUUGUAUUAAGAUACUCACCGAUAUAUUUGUAAAUUAAGAUGUUGACAUAUUUGUCAACAUCAAUGUUUAGAACCCAUGAUUUUCCCUCAUGGUUCGAAUAUGCUUUAUGGUUUGAUGAUUGUAUGCAGUGGGGCUAAUGUGAUGUUUAAAUCUCUUUUAUGGAUAUGCAGUGUGUUGGUCAUCAACUUGAAAACCAAGUAGAUUUCUGGGAUGUUGGAAGAUAAUUUUGUGUCAUGGGGAUUAGACCAACAAUAUAGGAGGCUGGUUUCUUAAGUUGUUGAUCUUGGUGGGAUAUGUAGAUGCCAAAAAUGGUUCUAAGUGAAUUGAAGGAAUUUAGCACGUAUGAUCCCAAGUACUCAUACUUAUUUGCAAUAUGGAUGCAUAAAGAGAACAUAUAUACUAUGAACUUCUGUAUAAAGGUUGCUGUGGAUGAUAUUAUUUGUGGAUUGAAAUAGAAUUGCACCUCUUUGAUCUUGUGGUAGACUAAUUGUUUGUUCGCAAUGUAUUUUUUUCGUUGGUGGAUAGCAUUGUGCCAUGUCUGGCAAUCUAUGUAUUGGGCUGCUAAACAUUUUCAAUCAUUAUGGUGUAUAUUGAUUGAUAUCCCAACUUUCUAAGCUAUCUUAAACAAUUUUGACUUUUCAUGGCCUCUAGAAAUAUGCUUUUUUUAUUUAUUUUAAUUAUUUCUCUCAUGCAUUUUUCCAUCUUGAAGUUUGUUGGGACAGAUGAAGCAACAUUACUAGAAUAUGCAAUCCUUGAGGUACAACAAGUCCUGUCAACUGAGGAUAUUGAUGGGAAGGAAGAGCAAUAUAUGAAUAGCUUAGUAUGUUCCAGGGUUUUCAAUGGCAAAGAAAAAAAAUUAAGUCUGGUGGAGGCUAUUUUUUUCUCGAUGAGCAUCUGGUGUGACAGUAAACUGUUGGAUUAUCAUCUGCAUUUUAGUAAGGUUAGUAGCUAUUAGUUAUUAUAUUUUGUUACUUCAUAUUUUAUUGUUCAUAUUUAAAUGAUAGCCAACAUUUUUGACAUCUUUGUAGCAUGUUCUGUCAUGUAGACUUGACUUUUGUCUAAGAUCUAUGUGUUCUCCAUUUAAGUCUCCGUGAAGGGUGAGUCCAGGUCUAAAGUUCAGGCUGAAAGGCAUAGCGGAUGUUCCCCUGAUCUUUUGUUGAUAUUGUUAUUAUUAGUGAUAUUUCUAUUGGUGUUUUUGUUGUUAAGUUUAUCCAUUUGAUUCAAAAGUUUAAUGGGCCAACAAUAUAUCAAUCUGACUUGCACUAAAGUCCUAACACCCUGCCUUAUAGGCAGCCUUCUCUGGCUUGAAUGUAGAUUUAGUAAAUAGGGGAAAUACGUAAGCGUUCACAUUUGAACUCUUGACCUCUAGGAAACCAGGCUUCGAUAUCAUGUUAAGUUACUGAUUUGAUGAAAAGAUUAAACAAUUAGGUAAUGGGACUCAAUAUAUAUAAAUAUAUACAGUUGACUUGGACGAAGCAUGGUUAUUAUUAUUAUUAUUGUUGUGUUGGUAAUAUGUUAAUUGUCAACUUGGUUGCCCAACUUCAACAUUGUUGGCUUUUCUUUUUCUUCUUUAAUAGGAAGCAGAAGAUCAUUAUUAUUAGCUUCUUCAAGUCCCUGGUAGUUCCUUCUAUACCCUGUAUAAUGUGAUUUUAUUUCCAGAGUUUCUAUGCCUAAUUAUGAUAUUUUCUUUUCAGAAACUCGACAACUUUAAAACAGUUAUGACCUUGGCAUUAGCAGUUGGUUUUAUCACUUCUAGUGAAGGCGGUGAAAUCAAGGUUAGUGUUGCUAAAUUGUAUGUCAUUCAUUUACCUUGCGGGUGGCAAAAGGAACUAUGCUAUUUCCAAGGCUUAAUUUUGUAUUUUGGUGUUCUAACAUUUGGUUGUUCAGAUGUAGAGUCCUUUUUGCCAAAAAAUUGAAAUCUUUCUUUGUAUUCCAAUUUGUAUGUCAUUCAUUUACCUUUUUGGUGGUGAAGGAACUAUGCUACUUCCAAGCCUUAAUUUUGUAUUGGUGGUCUAAUAUUUGGUUGUUCAGAUGUGGAGUCCUUUUUGCAAAAAAAUUGAAAUCUUUUCUUGUAUCCAAUUUGUAUAUGACCUAUAUCAAGUUAAACCAGUUUUUUCUUGUUACUAAGUCGUGGUUAGUUGUUGGAUGAUUUAGUUAGUUGAGUUUGUCCCUUUUAUUAAUUUGUCUAGAAACUAAUAUGAGUAGAGCUUGUUUCUAAAGGUUAGUGGUGAUCUUUAACUUGCUGACUGAGUUCCAUGGGGAUAGAGCAAUGGAUCAGAAUUUUAGUAGAGUUAGGAAGGAUUUUAAAAAAAGCUAAUGCAAAGGUUUUCAUAUGUGAAGGUUUUUUCUCAGAGUGAUUAUGGUGACAUUAGCAGCUUUUCUUCUUUUGCAUUUUCUAUAUAAUUAAAGGUUUUUAGAUUAGUUCACUUUUUCUUUAUGCCCAUCUUAUCUUCUCUUCAGUCUAGCCCAUGAGAGAAGCUAGCCUCAAGUUGAUUGGCAAUUGAUGCUCUUUCUGUCUGAUGACAACCCUCUUUUGUUUAAAAUAGUCAUGUUGAUCCAUCGCAUUAACCAUUUUACUGUCCUUAAUUUUCAUCUUACAAGAAAAGUUUUCAUACUUGCAGUUAACAAAAACUAAUGGUUUGGACGAGAUUGCUGCUAAAAAACUUCAAACUUAUAUUCAAAAAUCCAUUGAAGCUGCAUACAGCCGGGUAAGUUGGCUAAUGAUUCACCUUUUUAUGAUCGCUUUUGGUGUCCAAAUAAUAGUUCUUUUUUGGUGAAGUCAAUAUAUUUAUUUCAUUGUCCUUAGGUAGCAGCUACCAUGGAUCUUGAAUCUAAAUUAGAAAGAACACAUCCCUUGGCUCUGCUUGCAAAUGAACUAAGAUUGAUUGCAAAUAGAGAGUUAACUGUAUUUUGCCCCAUCCUACGUCAUUGGUGUCCAGAAGCUGGGAUGAUAUCAGCGAUGCUGCUAAACCAACUUUAUGGGGAGAGACUGGUCUGUUUCCAUGAUGACUAAUGAAAAUCAUCUCUAUGUCUUUGCAGCUGGUGCAUCCUUACUGCUUUGCUGCAUCUUUAUUUAAAAGGCUGUUGUUUUUGUUGACAUGUAGAAACCAUUCCUCAAAGGAGUAACGAGUCUUUCUGAAGAUGUCAAAUUAGUGCUUCCUGCAGCUGAUAUGUUAGAUCAUGACCUGACUCAACUAUAUUCUUCUGCAUGCAAGGACCAUGGGUCAUUUCACCCUUUUGUCCAAGAUUUUGAUCAUUAUGAGGUUGGUUUCUUCCUUCCCAACCCACCCAAAUUUCCAAACUGAAAAUUUUAUGUCAAUUGUUCCAAUAUGGCAUGUCUCUGAUAAUUUGAUAUCACUGUUCUUGUCUUAUAAAAUCAUAUAUUCUUCCUGCAUAUCGUUUGAGUUUCCCUGUUUUAGGCAUCUCAGUAAAAUAUGGCUUAGAUAAUAUGAAAAUUAGACUAGAAUUAUAUAGCAAGAGCACUUCUAAAAAAAUGAAAGUUUAAUUCUUGACUUUUGGAAGUGAAACUAUAAGUAAUGGAUGUGCAGCAAACUGAAAUUUUAGAUCAAGUGCAUUUCAUGCGCUUCGGCGGCCUGAAUCUUAAGACACUUCAAAGGUAGCAGAACCAAGCUUCCUACUUAAUCAUGAAACAUGGUUCAAACAUUCAUAAUGCAAUCCAUUCCAAUUCUUUCAAUCUACUGCACUUUUUUAAAGUUUGUCUCCUUGUUCAUGAAUCCUAAUUUUUAAUUAGCCAAACUUAACACUUUGUCGAAGGACUGUACCUAUUACAAUUUACAAGCAAGGGCUGUCAAAUGUGUUCUUGUGAACAGGUUGUCUUAGGUAAAUUUGGGAAUUUUUAUGCUGUUUAAAAACCUAAUCCAAAUUAAUUGAAUUCCAUUUGCAAUAUAAUUAUAAUAGCAAACAAUCUGAACUGCAGCAGAUCUUAUUCAUGCCCAUGGACGAGCAUAUGUGGAAAACACCCUAUGAUUGUGAUUUUUUUACCAGAGUUAAAAACCCUGGGCUGAACAGCUGCAGUGGUAAUUCACUAAAUAAAAAGGGCUCAGAGAAUUUCUUUGAAUCUGAAAUGCUCAUCCCUCCUGACAGACUUACUCUUGAUUGUACUUGCAAUCUUUUGUCACUUCCUCGAUGUGGCAGUCCCCAAUUGCUCCUUAAUUAUAUGUUUCUUCUAGCAUUUGUCUUGUUUACACAAUGGGUAUGAGGAUCAUCCUGUUCCUGGGAUUAAAGUUCUUACAUUUAAAAACUAUGAUAGCAUUCAAUCUGUGUCUUUUGUGUGACUCUGGGUCCUAUUGACAUAGAAGAUGAACUGUCUUGGAUGUUGGUGCUCACAGCGAUGCACAAGUACUCUUGUUUGAGAGCCCGAUCAUUUAGAAGUAUCUUUUUUACAUGUUUUGAGUUGUAAUCUGAUGCUUCAUGUGCUUUGUUAUAAUAAUGAGAUGGAGAAUGAGCUGUUUGUCCUUUUUCUUUGUGUGCAGAUUGGGGAAAUUUCUAGACCUAUUAUUCUUGAUUGGGUGAUUGCUCAACAUGGGCGCAUCUUGGAAUGGACUGGACGUGCUUUUGAUCUUGAGGUUGGUCAUGUACUCAGUAGGAUUCUUUAGCCUUUUAGUAUAAUUGUAUUCUUUGAUAACAAUCCAGUAGAGUACAUGAAUCAGUGUCUUUCGCCAUUGGGAAAGAUUAAUUAAUAGCCAUUUAGUGGAAGUAUGGAGGCUCCCUUUCAAAUAAAAAACUUCACCUAGAAUAUCAGGCGUCCGUGAGUUAUCUAGGUCUCCUCUUAGGUGGCAACCUGAAAGUGCCUGCUUUUGGAAUUUGGUUAUUGUGGGUGUCUAAACAAUUAGGUGGUUGAAAGGAGUCUUUUAUUUUGUUAGGAAUCUGAAUCACAUUGAAUCAAUCCUUCCUACUCAUAUCCUCACCUAUUCUUCUCUUUUUUGAAUCCCUCGUAGGAUUGCUACUGGGAUUGACAAACUUGCUGGAUUUAUUGUGUUGAAAGGCAAGGAAGGUGUUAGGGACCAUCUAAUUAGGGGGAAUUGACUCUCGUGGGCUACUCUAAAUGUUACUGUCUGAGCCUGAAGGGUAUCUCAUCCUUCUUUAAUUUGGGUUUUUCUUAAAAAGAUUUGUUUGUUUCACAUAAAAAAUUUCAAAUAAAUUCUGUGUGUGUUUAUUUACCAGUAUGCAUUAAAUAUUUUAUUGUGGCAACUAAAUGGAGAAAAUGUUGUUCUAGUUUUUCUUUUAGAGUUAUUGAGAGGGUUAUGAAUGCCUGUGGGGCUAGGCAUGCAUGGGCUAUCAGUUGUUCAUGAGGGCCAUGCAGAAUGGUGACAUGAUGAAUGUGCCAAUAAGGACUGGCAAUUUAACUCCAGUUUGAUGUUCUCCGAGUAUGAGAGGAAGAUACAAAACUUGGGUUGAAAUGGUAAGAAAAGACAUGAUAAUGUUUAAUGUGAUGGAGGACAUGGCCCUGGAUAAAGCUGAAAGCUGAUCAAUGUUUCACAUAGCUGAUUGUUAGCAAUUGGGGUUCAGGGCUUUUCUAUUGUAGUUAUUUUAAUUUUUCUAAUGACUCAAGUUAAAAAAAUGUCAUAGUAUGAUUGUUUUAAUCAGUGAAAAGAUUUUAUGUGUCAAACAAUUAUCUCUAUAUUCAAAGCAUUGUAUAGUGACUAGGAGAGAGCAGUGGAUCUCUCCAUGAUUGUACAGAAAAUUAGAGAGGGAAAUUUAGUCAUGUUGUGGAUUAUGAUGAAGUCCAACAUUUACUAAAAUAAUCCUGCAUACUUGAUACUUUUUAAAUGCACACUGGAAGUUGGACAUGAUGUGUUUGAUUUUUGGGCACAUGCAGGAUUGGGAACCUUUAUCAUCUCAGCAAAGACAGGCAGUAUCUGUAGUUGAAGUGUUUAGAAUUGUAGAGGAGGUAUGUAUUAUUAUUAGGAGAGUUAUUUGAUGCACUGAAGUAGUUUUUUAUUGAGACAUUAUAAAUUUAAUCGCCAUAUGAUAAAAAAUGAUAUAGAUGGAGGUUGCUCAAAAUAGAAGUUUCUUAAUUGAGCUUUUUGGAAGGGUUUGUCCCACUAUGUUCCAUUGGUUGUCUUCUCUAACCAUUCCACUACAAAUUUGUACUCCCAGGAUUCUAAAUUCUUCCUUUCACAGUUUUCUUCUAUGGAUGGCAUUUGUGCCUUUUAUGAAUCUAGCUUUUCUUAAAUGCCUUCAGUUUUGUAUUGUAUGGUGGCCUUAUAUUGAACUUUACUUGCAGACCGUGGAUCAAUUCUUUGGGUUGAAUCUUCCAAUGGAUAUCACACAUUUACAAGCUCUACUAUCUGUUAUUUUCCAUAGCCUGGAUACAUACUUGCAGAAAGUAAUCAGCGAGUUAGGUUAGUGUCAUUAUGUAUUAGCAUACUUAAAAUUGGAUUUACUGCUAAUUAGUUCUUGCUGCUCCUUGAACCUGACUUGAUAAAAACUAUGUAGAACUGAAAGAAACUCUUUUGUUUAGGGGGCAUUUUUCUUUUUGCAUCUGUUAUUGGUUUUGUUGUAUCACUUAUGAGUAAGGACGAAGGCUUCCAUAUGGUCCUUGGUAGAGGAAUACAUUAUAACUGUCCUUUUAAAACUAAUAUUUAAAGCUAUGAUGAUGACCCUCGAAAAGCAGUCUGAUGCUUUUAUAUUUGAUUUUCAAGCUACUUAUCAAAAAAAAAAAAAAAUAUAUGAUUUUCAAGCUGACUAGUGAGAAUGAAAUUGAUUUCCAUGAAACAGUUGCUAGAUGCUCCCUUUCCUAUCGUCUAGUGUGUAGGGUUGCAACUUGGGGGGGUUUAGUUGGGUUGAUGGCUAACCUGAGCUCAACCCAAAUUAAAAAACAAUCAACUCGAGUUGAGUUCAUGUUGGUUGGGUUAGAUUUGGGUUGGUUGUGUUGAUCGGGUUGCAUAAUUCAAAAACCAUCUGUAAUGUUUUUUUUUUAUUUAAUUUAAUUUUUUUCUAUAUAUUUAUAUAAAAAUUUAAAUAGUAAAUAAGACAAAAUUUAAAAAUAGCAACAAAAAAGUAAAAAUAAAUUUAUAUAUAUUUUUAAAAUAAUGAAAAAUUAUAUGAUAUAAUAUAAUUUGAUAUUUUUUCUUAAAAAUUUGAAAAGAAAAUGAAUAUUAUUAAUAUAGGAUAACAUACAUCAUAAAUAUUGUAAAGACAUUAAAUCGGGCUCGGGUUGCACAAACCUUGUCCCAAGUCCAACCCAAAUUGAGCUUGGGUUGAAAUCACCUAACUCAAGCAAAAUCUGAGUAUUGAAAAUGAUUGCUCCGGCCCUUCCAAAUGUUGGGUUGGAUCGAGCCAACCUGCCCAAGUUGCAUCCCUAGUAUAUAUAGUUUUAUGCAGAGGUGUUUAUGCAUAUACAUAUGUGUGUGUGCGUAUACUACGUAUGUGUGUGUGUGUGUGAGAGAGAGAAAUUAAGUCUAGUGCUUCUCUUGUGUUUGGUUAUUUUUUUAUUAUAAGAAAUUAAUGAAUCCUUUUUGUGAAAAUUAUUUUGUAUCCUCAGAGUCCAUUGCAAAUGUUGCAAUUAUUUAAUCGAAAACAUGUUGUCCAAUGUAAAAUACUGAUCAUAAUGCUGUUAGUGGUGCAGUUGAGAAGAGCUAUUUAUUCCCUUCUACUCCUUCUUUGACUCGUUAUAAGGAGAUGGUUAUUCCAAUAGCCAAGAAAAAGUUGGUCGAGUCUACACCCUUGGAUGAGAAAGUGAACAAUAAGUUGAAUGAAUUGACAAUAUCCAAACUGUGUGUCAGAUUGAACACUCUUCAAGUGAGUGCCAUUUUUUUCUUUUCGAUUUUUGGAAAUUAGUCUUUUACAUGAUUUCUGUACUUGUUUAGCUAACUCGAAUUUUUUUGCAUGAGUAUGCUUGAUGUUUGUGGUUGUUAAAUGGACCAUACACUUCUCAAAUUACUUCUACUGUGUAAUAUUGAAUUUAGUUCAUAAGUUGUGAGUUCAAAAGAAAAUAAAACAAAAAGAAUGAUGGUGUCAUUAUAAUGGUUUAGAAGUACGUUUUGAGGGAGAGAUUUUGAUUGGUCCAGAACAAAAUGCUUUGGGAAUAUUUGGAAAUAAAAAUAAACAAUAUAAAUUUUUGGAAAAGAUUUGACAACAUGCAGGGAUGCUUGAAAGGGACUGAAAAAGGAGCAUUUAUUAGAUCCGAAGAUAUGCUAACGAGGUGAAUUAUUGACUGCACUGGAAGGACAAUAAAUUACUUUGCCUUACAAAUUAUUGAUGCUAAUUUUUCAUUUGAACACAAAAUUCAUAAAUGAUAACAGAGAAUUAUGAAGUGCUAAUCCAAACACUGAUACAUGUGAUAGUUCCAAAGUGUUGUGUUAUGCUUACACAUGCAAAACAAAAAUGCUAAUAUUCCUUUCUGUCCCUGUUACUAAAGUUUUUAUCUGCUUGGACAAGCUCAAGUACUGUCAUGUAUUAAGAAUAUUAUAUUCAAGUUUCCCAAGGUGAUUUUAUUUAUUUCCCUCCUGAUUCAAUGUUGUUUGUUUUGAUUGGCAGUAGAAACAUCGACUUGGUCACUAUGACACAUAGGUUAUUUACUUGUUCUGAUAUAAGAGGUCUAGACUUUUGUUACCUGGAACCCCAACUUUAAAGUCACAAGAGUAAAAUGUAGGUCCUUACUUAGAACUUUUGUUUUGAAUGUCCUUGUGUUAAAAUGUCCUCAUAUUCUCAACUCUUUUGUUUAAUGGUUUUAUUUCCUUCUUCCCUGUGGCCUUGAAGAUUUUCAGAGCUUAAUUGGUAUACAGAGUCAUCUAUUACAAGGAUUUUAUUUGUGUACUGCAUUUGCUGAAACACAAUUUUGUUUGCAGUCAACAUGCCAUCAAAUCAUUUCUUUAUUGUUGUUGCUCCUGUGCUGUUGUUAACAUCUAUUGUUUCUUCAUGCAGUAUAUUCAGAAACAAAUGCGUACCCUAGAAGAUGGCAUUCGGAAAUCUUGGGCACUUGUCAGACCAUCUGCUAAUCAAAGAUGGAGUAAGUUUUGUUUGGUUGAUGGCAAAUGGACAACCUAAUAUUUAUGCAUUUCUUUAAGUUUUAAUAUAUUGGCAAUGAAUUAACCUUGUCUAGACUUUUUUAAGCCUCUCUAUCUCUAUAUCCAGAGCCUAGGCAUGAUAAUUUUCCAGUCUACUAUUUUACUUGCUGUAAAGAAUGCUAUCAUUGUGAAUAGAUCACACUAUGGGUAGAUGAUAAAUUUAAAAUCAAUGGACUAAUGCUGAUUAGUAUUGCUACAGGCAACUACCUGGGCAAGCAUAUAUUUGCCUCUUACCACAACUUCAUAAUAUGUUUGUAUUAUGUCUCUAUCUGAAGGAAACGAUAAACCUACAUGAAAUAGCAAUUCAAAGUGUAGAGAGGCAAAAUAUCAUCUUGUAUCUGUUAAGAGGAAAUCGGAAACUGGGAUUUCGAAAUUAGAAAUGGCAUUUUUUUUUUUCUGAGAAAAAUGACUUUGGUGUAUGUUCUCCAUUCUGGAAUAUUUUAUCAUGCUAAUGGUAGUCUUGACUUUAACCCAUUAUGAAUUUUGAUAUGUUCAGAUUCUUUAUUCAUUUUCUUUAAGUGAAAAUCAAUAGGUGUAAAAUGAUUUAUAUGUAACAGUUUUGACUGUCAUCCUUAUUUCCAGCCAAAGAGGAAUCUCUAGAAAAUUUGGAGGAGAGUUCAAUGAUGUCUAGUGAAUCAAUUGAUGAACUAUUUUCCACCACCUUUAACAUAAUCAGGGAUACUGCUACUGAUGCUAUCAACAAAAUUUGUGACUUCAUUGGUGAGUUAAUAAGCUCCAGUAUAUUAGUAAUAUGCAUCUUACUGACACACUGAUAGAUUUUCUCCAUGUACUUGAAAUAUGUUUGUGAAAUUUAAUUUGUCAUAAUUUGUAAUUUUAACAGCUGGAACAAGUUGUUUCCUUGAAUGCCUGUAUCUUUGUGCAUUACAUUGCUUGUCAGCUUGUAAAUUGCUUUCUAAGUGCAUGUUUGGGCACAUUUCGUUUUUUUCUUUUUGUUUUAAAAAUAGCCUUAUACAAAAUGUGGGAAUUCUGAUACAAAAAGUAGGUAGAUACCUUACAUACUUGAAAACACUUUUAAAAAUUUAAGAAAGUAAAAAAAUAUCACUUCCACAGUUUUUUUAAAUUUUGAAAAGAGUCUUAAGAACACAAGAUAAAUUUUUGUUUUUUGUUUAAGAGUUCUUAUAUUUUGUUUAUAAGUUUCUAUUUUUAAAAAUAAAAAAUAGGAAGUAUAUUUAAAUGUCACCUAAGUUAUAUACAAUGAUUCAUUUUUUUAUUUUUUUAAAGACCUGGAUCAAAGAUUAUAAACUCAAAAAUUUAAAUACACAACACUCUUUCAAAUGGUAAGAACCCUUUAUUUGGAUUUUCUUUUCUAUUUUCCUUUUUUUUUUUGGUUGAUUAAGGUUACUCUUCAUUUCCAAUCUAGAGAUGGCCAUUACUAACCAGGACCUACCUUCAACCUCACCAAAAUGAGCAGGUUCAAGUCAACUUAACAGAUUGCCUAUAGGUUUGGCCCUUCCCUAACUGGACAAACUUGAAAUCAACUUGAUUAGUGAAAUGCCUUUCUUUACAUUUAACUAAUAACAUUGGGCCAUUGCUUGGUUAGUUGACUAGUGGCUUGGCUAUGUCUGGAACCCCUUUCCAAUUUGAAUUGCAUAUGCAUCCAUUCAAUACAAUUUAUAUUGUUUUGAAACAACAUAGUUGUAAGAAUUCUCGCCCAUCUUACUUUUCUUUCUUUUACUGAGAUUUUGAAGCCAUGCUUCUCUCUCUCUUGAGUGGAAGGAGGGUGGAUAUACAAGGAGGAAGAAACCACUCUCUGUGUGUGAUCAGAAAUAACUGUUUCAUUGCAUUGAAAUAUUAAGUGCAAAGAAAGCAUGAUAAAGCGAAAUCAGUCUCUCUUUGUGGGUGGGAUGGUGGGAAAAGUCAACAAAGAGGAAGAGAAUCAGAGGAUUUAAGAAAAGCACAAGAGCCACAUGAUGGGGGUGGUGGGUACUGAGUUAGUGUAGUAGAGUGAGCUUGGUUUGCUGCAUCUUAAAACGGAAUUCUACAGUUAUGGUAAAGCUUUGUUCAAAUAAUAGAACUCAGGGCAAGAAAUCUUAGAAAAACCAACUUUAACUAGAUUAUGAUCUCAAGAUAGGGAAUUUGUAUAAGAAGCUUUGCAUUCUAUGCAUUGUGGUAGCAGAAGCUGUGACACCAUUUUGUUGUGCAAUAAGAUAUAUCACAUGUAAAGCAAAUCCACACAUAAAGCUGGACAAUAUAUAACAUGAUUUAGCCAACCAUACACAUCCAUGAAUGAGAAAAAAUCAAUUCACUAUAUAGAAAAUAUUACAUGGGGAAGCAAAUGCAGAUACAAACAAUAGUCUCUCGAAACAUCUAUGCUUUUGUGCUCGUAGUAUUACAUCUUAAGCUGAGCUCUGGGACAUCCCAUGUUUCUUUGCUCUACCUAUGUCUUCCGUCUCUCCCUUAUAUCUUUCAUUCUCAGUAUAGCCUUUAAAGUGCCAUCUUAAUUUCAUUUCAUUUUCUUGUUAUGGCAAAAAAUAUCUGUACAGACAUCUGAAAUCUUUCCUUAUUCAACAAGGAAAUCUAUUUCCAUGAGGAAGUAUCAAAAUAUAAAUGAUUCUACACAAAAAUGAAUUCUUAUGAAAUUAGUAGUUGAAUUAAAUUGGAACUUUAGAUGCCUUCUAAGAAUCUCCACCUUUGGCUUAAAUUCCAUGGUGUUGGCCUUUGGAAAUCCAUAACAAAGGAGUGGGAUCUUUGAGCAGCAGAAUAUCAUUCUCAGUAGGUAAUGGUUAGAGAGUGAGAUUUUGGAAGCAUAAGUGGUGUGAAGAUGAGUUGCUUUGUGUUUCCUUUCCCUACUUAUUUCACUUAGCCAUUUCUAAGUACGGGUGGGUGGCAGAUGUGUGGAACUCAAUAGUCAAAGGGGGUGGAUGGGUUCUCGCUUCUCUAGGUCGUUUAAUGAUUAGGAGGUUGAAAGUGUGGAGCGUUUUGUAUUGAAACUUCAAGCAAAAAGGGUGUAUAGGGAUGAAGAAGAUAGGGUGAUUUAGAUGGUUUCAAAGAGUGGAAAGUUUUCAAUCAUAUCCCUCUAUUCCGUUUUGGAGCCUAGUGACCCUUUAUUGUUCCCGCAGAGCAUCAUUUGGAGUUCUUGCGUGCCAUCCAAGGUGGCUUUUUUUGCUUGGGAGGCAACUUGGGGGAAAGCCUUAACUUUGGAUCAUGUCUAGAGGAGGGGGUUUCUUUGGCAAAUAGAUGUUUUCUUUGCUACUCUAAAGAAGAAACUGUUUGAUCACAUUCUUCUCCACAGUGCAAAGAGAAGGAUUAUUUGGAAGCUGCUUUUUACUUUGUUUGGAGUGUCUUGGGUUCUUCCCUCUUUGGUUAAAGAGACACUCCUUGGGUGGCAUAGGUCCUUUUUGGGUGAAGGUCGCAAAAAGCCUUGGAAGGUUGCCCCUUUAUGUAUCUUUUGGACCGUUUAGAAAGAAAGGAACAUGCUUGCUUUUGAUAAUGCGGAGUUAACGGUCCAAAGGAUGAAAAACUCUUUUGUUUGUAAUUUGUGGUCUUGAACUAGGGUGUUUAUAGAUAUGGGCCCUACUUCUUUUAUUAGUUUUAUUGAUUGGCUAGGUUAAUAAGGGCAGGUGAUGUUUUUUGUUCUUUCCCUCCCCCACUCGGUUAAGCCUUUCGGCGGCUAGUGUGUACUUCCUCUAUACUUUGGGACGCUAUUUGGGCAUUUCCUUUUAAUAUAUACUCUUUGUUUUACCUAUCAAAAAAAAAAUGUGCCUUAGCUAGUGCACACUCCUUCAAAGUGCCACUGCUGAGGCAUUUAAUCAAUGCACUCCAUUUGGAAACUUGUUUGAAGCACAUCUACUAGAUGCUGGACUUUUGAAUAAAAGAAUACUGAUAACCAUCUAUCAUCUCCAAUCCUAAGUUCACAAUACUUGAUGUUCCAAAUCCUUUGCACAACAUAUCCCUUGUAUGCUACUAACUCCCCCAGUUUCACCUUCUAGUAUCUCUAAAUUGUUGAGACACUUUAACAUUUCUAGUUUUCAUGAUUCAAUAAGUGUCUUGCAACACAUUCCUAAUUCAUCGAGCUCAUACUCCAUGUAUCAUAUGAAGAUGAGAGAACAAAUGAUUCAAUUUUCAAUCAAAAUUCCUGUUGCAAUUCUCUUAUACAGUUUGGAUCUCUUGUGGCAUCUUUAUGUUCUAAUUGCACAUUCUGAAUCGCCAAAUUUGCACUUCCUCCUUGCACUUCCAUAAAUCUUUACCUUAGCUUUGAUACCACAUGUUCUAAUAGAAGAUUUGACUCCAAAUUGUUGUGUGAUAAAAGAUAAGCAAAUCCACACAUAAAGAUGCACAAGGUUUAAUGUUGCUUGAUUAAUUAUGCUUAUAUCAUUCAAUGAGACAAAUCAGUUCACUAUUACCAUAGAGAACAUUACAGAGGGAAGUUAACACAGAUAUAAAACUUGAGUCCCUAAACAAUCUAUGUUUCAUUGGUCCUAGUAUUUAUACCUUGAACCUGGACCUGAAACAUUUCAUAUUUCCUCUUCCAAUAGAUGGCUCCCUUCUUUCCCUCACUUUACUUCCUUGGUAUAGCCUCUAGAGGCACAUCUUAAUCACACAACUUUUUCUGUUCAUGACCUCCAAUAUCCAUGGAGAUAUUUGCAACGCUAUGUCUGGUUUCCAAGAAGUACUAAGGAAAAAAAUGCUAAGAAUUAAUUCCUCAUGUUUGGUUCACCAUAGAAAAUACAAAAUAAAAUAAAAGAUAUUUAGAAUUAGUUUAAAACUUAUGCAUUUUUACAUUAUUUAAUCUUUAUAUAGAAGAAAAAUAAGUAAAAUGAGUUGGAAGAGGUAUCUAAAAAUAAUUUAUUAACUUUAACACAGGGUAUGGCCAUCCCUUAUUUAACAAGGGAACCUGCUUCACUAUAAAAUGUUCAAAUAUAAAUUGUUCUUUUCUACAAUAUUCUACACCAAAAAAAAUUCUCAUGAAAAUAAUGCUUGAAUCAAGUUGGAUUGAAGUCAGUUUUCAACAAUAUAAAUGAUACAUGGAUCAGUCAGGAAUAUAAUGCCCUUCAGUAAAGGAAUGGAUGGUAUCGAGGGCUAAAAGGAAGCAUUUAUAUUUAUAGUGUUAUUUCCUCUUCCUUCUGCUUCUUCCUCUCCAUAAACUGUAAUUUUUUCCAUACAGCUUUAAACCCCAUUAUACUCAAAAAGCAUGUCAGUACCCUUUACUGUUAUUGUAUACCAUUAGUUAUGAUUCUUGAAAUUUAGUUCAUGUUUUAAUUUUCUAGUACUGAACUUUUAUAAAAACCUACUUAGCAAUGUGGCAUUCUAACUAAUAAUUAUUUCCAAAUUUACCAUGUUGUACUUAUUAUGUUUUUGACAUUUCCAAAGACAAUUUACCUUGGUUUUGUUUGUUAAAUUUAACUCUUAGGUACCAAAGUUGUGUUUUGGGAUUUGAGAGACUCGUUCUUAUUUCGUUUAUACCGUGGUAAUGUUGAAGAUGCUCGCUUGGACAGUAUUCUUCCACAUGUUGAUACUGUAAGAUAUGAAUGUUAAUUGUCUCUCUUUAUCUUUGUAUGUAUGUACAUGUGAUCACAUAUCGAAUUUCUAUCAUAGCUUUGUAGUGUUUUUCUCUAUUAAGCUGGUUACAAAACCCUUUUAAUCUAGAGCCCAUUGUUGUAGGUCCUUGAUCAAAUAUGUGAUUUGAUUGAUGAUGCUCUCAGAGACCUCGUGGUUUUAAGCAUUUGUAAGGCAGCAUUGGUAUGCUCUCAACCUUGUUUGUCAAAAUCUGUCAAGGUCCCUUUCUUUGUGGUCCUGAUUUUCUAUGUUCUCAUACAGGAAGCUUUUGUUUGGGUUUUGCUGGAUGGAGGACCUUCUCGGGCAUUUUCUGAUUCAGAUAUCCCAAUGAUGGAAGAUGACCUCAAUAUGUUGAAGGUAUGGAACAUUUUUCCCAAUCCUUUUGGUUUAAUUUUAUUGGUCAGUACAUCGAAUCAGCAUACUGCUAAAUGUAGUCAGUUUCUGUUUGAAAGGUAGCAACUGAUUGGGUGCCACUGAUAAACCCAAGUGGAACUGUCACGAUUACUUUCCUGAUACAUAUUUGCUUUCUAUUUUCAUUUCAAUUUCAUUGCCGUCUAAUAGAAUUAUGCUGCUUUGCUUUAUAGGACUUAUUUGUGGCAGAUGGAGAAGGCCUUCCACGCUCAUUAGUUCAGAAGAAAGCAGAAUUUGCUGAACAAAUACUGAGCCUUUUUGCCCUUCAGGUUUUGUUCACCCAUGGUUGAUAAUUAUGCACACCCACAAAUCAAUACACGGCCAAAAGAAGGAAUAAUAGAAACUAGCAUCAUGAUGACUUCUUCCUUUUUUUUUCUCCUGCAGACAGGAACAGUUAUCCAAAUGUUGAUGACGGCAAGUGAACACAUUUCAACAGGAUUAGAUUCUCGUAAACAUGGUCGCCUAUGCUUGGGAGACGCUCAAACCUUAGUACGAGUAUUAUGCCACAAGAAAGAUAGAGAAGCUUCGAAGUUCUUAAAAAGGCAAUAUCAGCUCCCCAUGUCUUCAGGUUAUUUUUUUAUCCCUCAGUUAGACUACCCUGAAACACAAUGUUUUAAUUUGGUAUUGGUUCCUAAGCGGUAUUGAUGUUGUUCUAGUCUAUUCUGGCAGCCUUCACAUCAUUACAUGCUCAAUGGAAAAUGAAACCUCUGGGAAAAAUGAAUGCCGUAUCUUAGAAGUGUUUUGGACUAAAACAUCCUACUGCACUUGUGGGGGUUUUUCUAAAGCUAGGGUCCCCACUUUGAGUAGUAAGCAGGGGACUCAAUUCAACACAGUAAAACGAUAACAUUUAUCCUGAAAUGGUUGGGAUGAUGCGUACACGCACUCUCACACUUGCUUUUCCAACCAAGAUCCAAAAUCUAAAUACUGCUUGAUUUACUUUUCAUUUUUCCUCCCACCUUUCUCGGCAAGGGUGCAAGUUCCUUUUGUGGCAGCUGUUUAAUGCUUUUGGCCAAUCUUUGACUCUAAAUCCCAACCAUCUUUGCUCGAAACUUUAUAAUCUGGUUUCCCUUACAUUUCACUAACUAAAAAAUAAGCUUAAAUCCUUUCUAGCCACCGCCAGAAUAUAAUAAAGUUAAGUGAAGUGAUUUAUUUUUUUGGCAGAAUAUGACGAUACUCCGUCAAAGGAUUCAACUUUGAGAAGUCCCCUUAUUUCAGAUCUCAUAAAGCGAAGCGCAUCAUUCCACUGGACGGAGAAGGGCCAGAGUAGCUUCAUAUCUUUAAAAAAGAAACUCCAAGAAGCAACUUCCGAAAUCAGAUGGUAAACACAUUUCCCUUAUUCUUCCGUGUCACAUGUUUGACACGGAGCUCUAAGUCAUUAUGGGCAUAUGGGAAAGGCUAUGGUUUGGCCCCCUUCCGUUUUACGGUGUAAGGGCGUGCCCGUCAUAGCAUUUUAAGCGUUAAUAUAACGCAAACUCUAUAAAUCAAUAGUCCCCCGCGGCCUACCCACACCAAUCAUAGCAGAAGAGUGCCAUUGUCUGAUGGGCCCUGCUGCCAUUACGUCUCAAAGUUUGCGGAUGACAAUCAUUUUGGAUAAAUAUGUACCUCCAGGUCUCCCCUGAUGUGUUCAGAAGAAAAUGUUGUGUGCUGAUUUGAUUUGGUGAUGGUCCCAAAAAGCUAGAGCCGUGUCAUCUAGAUUUAUCCUAUUCGAGCUUUGGAAAAUGAUAUGCUACCAAAUGGGUUUCAUAUCUAAACUUCAAGAUUGAACUGUGUAUUAGAAUUUUGGUAAUUAAAUAAAGUCAUAAAGAAAUGAGAAUGGAUAAUAUUAAUAAAAGAAGAAGAAGAAGAAGAAGGUAGAAGUGAUCAAGUGAAUGAAACUUGGAUAUAGAUCGAUGAACCAAAUAAAAAUAUAAGCUAAUGAGAUAUUUUUGACAUGGGCAUCUUUUUUCAAAGCAUAUAUAAGUUAUAGUUUUGUGAAUUAUGUUUACAUUCUUCCUUAUACCUGUGAUAUCCCUUAUUUUUUUUUUUCUAUAUUCUAUCAAUCUGUAAUUCAAAACAGCUGAACAAUAAUUUAAUGGUGGAAAAUUUUUGAAGUAUAUAUUGUAGCCGUGCAUGCAAUUUCUUACUUCCCACACUCCAAUAAACUUGGAAACACUGCCACAUCUAGAUUUUUUUUUUCUGCCCUACCGUCGAAGAUUCGAAUCCAAGGAUGUUAGUCUCUAUUCUCUAAGAAUUUCCAAGAUGCUACGAAUUUGCUUUGGGUAACCGGACGUGUAUAACAGAUAUUCCCGCAAAAGACCUAGUCAACCAAGUCAACUGGCUUGCAUAUAUAUAUAUAUAUGAAAAGUCACAUGUUCAUCUUUUAAUUUUUGCCUCUUUUUUUUUUUUGGGUGUUAAAACAAAAGCUUUCAAAUCCCAAUCACACGGGAUAUGAACAUACACUUUGCAAAAGCUUUAGGCUUUCGGCGCAAUGAGACAGAGUGAGAGCCAAGUUCAUUUCCACUAAACAAAGCAACAUCAAUAUUUAUGAUUUGCCCAUCCCGUGGAUUGAGGACUACUGUAGCAAAAUCACAGCCGACAUUCAAACCAUUGAUUUUGUUCAAUCACAUCAUUACCGACUUCUCUUCCUUCUCUUCCACUUGUCGGCCGCUUCCCUCCUCUACACCCACCUCCCAACGGCACUACACUACCCGGAACCAGAGUCACCGGAAUGCCAAUUGCCAUCUGAGAUGGGUCCACCGCCGGCAACUGCGUGUGGCCAGGGUCCGCCGGCCUCUGCUGGAAAACUGGAAAUGACCCUUCUAACCUCACGGCAACAUUCACAAUCCCAUGCCCUCUCGUACCGUCUCUGUCCCGGAGACGGUAGCUUAGGUGCCGCAGAGUCCCCGCCGGAGAGAACCCUUCUAGAAUAUCCCCGGCCGGAAUCUGACACCAACCCAGCUGAAUCUUGCCCUUCAUGAGACGCUUGGUGUAGAUGUGGAGGUAAAUGGCGGAGUAUCUGUGGGAGAAGAAGGUGGCUUCCAUGGGCAGCCGGAACUUGUCACCCCAGGUGGGAUUGAUUCCCCCCUCGUCGUCCACCCUUGUCAUGUACACCUGGCUCUGUUUAUCAGCGCCAGUGGGCUUGUAGGGCGUGGGUGGGGCAGUGGUGAGAGUGAUGAACGGGCGGAUGCGUUUAGAGAAGAAGGUGGAGGUGUUCUUAAGGCCCUCUGCUGAUACAAUUGUGAUUUCGAUAACGAAAGGCUGGCGAUUAGUAUCGAACAUGGUGACUCUGUGAGGGAUUAAUUUACAUACAAAAUUCAAAAUAGAGUUGAGUGAGUGAACGAGUGAAGAGCCAAUCUGGGUUUUUGAGUUUCAUAUAUACAGAGAGAAACAAGAAUGAAAAAAGAGGAGUUGAUGGGAAGUUGGGAUGCUACUCACUCUGCAAUUUCCCUUGUGGAAUAAACUCCCCCAUAUAUGGAAAUUUCAUGUUGGCUGAGUCAACUAACUCGCAUGUGAUGACCACGUGUAGAACAGUAUAUUUACAUAUACACAUUUGAGAUUAUUUUCUGUUUUAACCUAUAAUUUUUUUAGGUUGCCGUAAUAAAGACAAAUUUUCAUUGUUCUACCUCUUAAUUUCAUUUAUUUUUUAUCUUAUGGGUUAGGUAUAUCUUCGGCCGUUAUUUAUACUCUUAUUUAAUUAUUUAGAUUUUAUUUUAUUUUAAUAUUUUAAAACCGAGAUAGGAAUUCGGUGAUCACUUCUUCUUACCCUAGUAAUUUUUUAUUUUAUUUUAUUUGUUUCUUAUUAAUUUUUUCUUGGUAUGAUCAAUGAUGAUUACCAACAUCCAGAAGAUGAUAGGUCAUAUUCAAUAAAAUAAAACAGUGGGAUAAUACAGACAAAUUAUUAAAAAAAUAAAAAGAAAACAAGAAUGGAGCGGGCAGUGUGUAGUGAGUGGGACGGAAGCUGCCAAACCCCUAGUUGUUUAGAAAAACCAAAGUCCGGCCAAUAACUGCCAUUGAAAUAAAUGGUCAGUUUUUUCUCCUAUACGCCAUCACCCACGAAAGUGGUUUGGGAGUUUAGCGGAAAACUGCUUGAACCUUCCCUGCAACUCAGCAAUCGCACACCACCUUCUCCUCUACCCUAACGACUCAGGCAACUGUGGAUUCUUCAAACGUCCAAGUCAAGCCCAUACCUGGAAAACAGGAACCAAUUAAUUAUGUAAAUUUCCAUCACGCUUCUUAAAAAAUUCUGUGAAAGUGGAAGAGAGAAGAGGCCAGAAAUGGCUCACAUGGCUAGGUGUAAAUUGUAAUGAAGGCGUGAGUCACGGGGAGAGCAAAGAGAGGUGAAUCACAUGGCCCAAUUCUCCCAAGUAUUUCUUUACUACACUUACGAGCCUAUGACUGCCCCCCUCCUUCCCCCACCCCACCAUUGAGGGUUUCUGCAACAAGUUGGCAGGGGUGAAGAAAAGUAAGAAACACAAGACCAAGAAUAAGAUGUGUCACAAAGAACAAUUCUUUUGAAGGUGGGGCAUAGCUCCAUCUAAGACAUUAAUGGAAUUGCGGGUACGUAGGUUUAUUAUUAUUAUGUCAUUUUUAUUAGACAAUUCUUGAUAAGAAAAGUCAUCUCCCUUAUUGAUUACGUUUGGUACUUGUAGGAUAAAAUGCUAAUGAAUACGCUUUCGUGUGGAAGACCUAUUUAUUAUUUCACCCAAAUCGCCCCAGAUGACGACUUGUUUCUGUCAAUGAAUUAAGUGCUCCUACACAUGAUUUGAAAAGGUCAAAAAUGACAUUUAAAAUAUAUAAAAUCAAGCAACCUAUUCUAAAUUUCUAAUCAAAAUAUAAAAAGAAAAAGCUGUAAUUACCAAAAUGACCUAAAACCAUUAGAAAAAUAAUAUUUACAUAACAAUUUAAACAAAAUAUUGGCUCCACCACUGUUUACAAAUGUUUUAAAUUUAAUUUUUUUUUCUCUUAUAUUUUCCUUUAAAAUUUUCUCGAGACCCUACAUGGCAAAAAUGUUGAAUUAUAGAGUUCAAUGUUCUGUGCGUUUUUUGAAAUAAUUCUCUUAUUGAAUUUAUAAUAAUAAAAAAAUUAAUUCAAGGAAACUCAAUUAAAAUUUUAUUCAUUUUUUUUUUCUUUUUUUACGCCGAAAGGUGGAGGUGAAGAUGUUGAGAGGCCCAAAAAUGGUUUCACGUGUAGGGUAAGGUUUGGGUGCAAACCAUACAGGCGUGAGUGCCGAGGUAGCGAGGUGGAUCACAUGAAAUGAAGCCAACACUUUCUCCACUGGCCCCCACUCGAUCGAUGGCCCCCUCCAUAACUUGUUGAUUAAGGGUUGCAUCCAUUGUCAUGGAGAAAGAAAGGUUUUGGGAAAUGACUCAUACGAGGAAAAAUAUCUCCCUUAGAAAAGAUAUGUUGGAUGUUUUAAGAUCCUUCCAAACAAACAUGUUAUGUCUCAUGAUUUUCAAAAUAGACAUAUUUAAUUUAUUAAAGAUACAGUUCCUUCAAUAAUCACCACCUAUAAUUAUAAAUAUAGCAUCUUUGAUUUGUUUGGUGUAUUCUUUUUGUUCGGUCUUCAUUUCUAGCAUUCCAGUUUAGUCAAAUAUUAAUUCAAUCAAGAAUUUAAGAGAGCGUAAAUCAUUAAGUGAUUCUUUGUUUCUUAUGAUUUAAACUGAUCAUAAGAAAAUAAUUAUUAUAUCAUGGGAGAUAAUCACUUUUAUACCUUAAGCAUUUGAUCGAGACAAAAUUUGUGUUAAAAACAUUGAGUCGAACUUUAACCUUAAUUAACUUAUUGUUUAUUAGUUUAAUUUUAUUGUUUGAUUUCAAAAUUAGAUGUUCAACUACUUUUUAGUUUGAACAAUAAUUUUAAGACAAAUUUGUUUUUAUUCAUUGUUAAUUUUAAUUACAUAAUAAUUUUUUAUGAAAAUGAUCUCUACAUCUUUUGUUAUAUUGCACAUGAUAAGAAACCUAAUAAAUUAUACAGACUUCAAAAGGUGGCCAUAAAAGAUAUUAUACCUUACAACUCUAAACCUCGCUUGGAUCUCAUUUGAGAAUGCCCCCACAUUAAAAGUGGGUAAAAUUGAUAAGCAAGUAUAUGCAGUUGUGGAAGCUUAGAAUAGUUCUUACUUCCCAUGCAAGAACUAUAUUUUCAAUAGUUUGGAUAACACAUUAUAUAACAUGCAUAGUCUAAUAAAGGUUGUUACGGAACUAUGAGGGUUCUUGGAGAAAAAAGUAUAAGAUAGAGGAUGUUAGCUUGAAGAAAUUUGUAGUUGACAUAUUUUUUAAAUUCAAAAUGAUAGACUCCAAGAUAUUUAUGAGUUGAGUCUUAAGAACUGCAAAUCAUUUUGCAUGAGAUGAAAUGUUAUUGAGUGGGUCUUUCCAAAUUGCAGUUAUAAUGGAAAAUUUACCACUCUUAUGGAAAGAUUUUAAAAAUUACUUGAAGUAUAAAUACAAAGAGAUGUGACUAGCUUCAAACAAUUGUGAGAUUGAGGAUUGAAGACAACAAUCAAAUUUCUCACAAAAAAGUUAGGAAAACUUUCUAUAAAGUCCAAGGCAAAUUUGAUAAAGUAGAAAACAAAAAAAAAAGGGAUGUAUUUCGAUGAAAGUCCUAAUCAAAGGAAAGACAAAUUUGAAAAUUUAAUAAAAAGUACUAUGUGUGCAAUAAGGUAGGGAUUCUUAGUCUAAAGGAUAAGACAAGAAAAUUAAAUACAUAUGAUUGGAGAAGAGAAAUUGAUAAAUAAUGCAUUAGAUUUGAUUCUUUCUACUACAUAGUUUGAAGGUGAACAACUCUAAGGAAUUGUGCAUGGACACGGGAACUACUUGCAAUGUAUGUUCAAAUAUAAAGAUGUUUAUUUUCUUAUGUACAAAUAAAUGGAAAGAAGUUAUACAUAGCUAUGUCUAAAGUCAAAGGCAUAGGAAAGGUGGUAUUAAAGAUGACUUUAGGAAAGACACUCAAUGAUGUGUUGUAUGUGCUAGAUAUCCAUAAGAAUUUAGUGCAUGACUCGUUAUAAGAAUGGCUUCAAAAUGGUCUUCAAAUCUAAUAAAUUGGUAUUCACCAGGAAUGACAUGUAUGCGGGCAAAGAAUAUCGUGCAAAAGGGUUUGAGAUGAAUAUAAUGACUUUAUUGUGAGAUUUUAGUAAUAAUAAUAAAAUUAAAUUUUGUGUUUAUUUACUUUAGUCUUAUAAUUUGUGGCAUAACAAAUUAGGAUGUGUGAAUUUUUAUUCUUUGUGAAAAUUAAGAAAUUUAAAUUUAUUGUCAAACUUUCAUAUCAAUCUUAGUCAUAAGUGUGAAAACAAAAAUACGAAGAAGCAAGACAAUUAGAGAAUUUGAAGUACCUUUUCAUGAGCUCUCUUUAAAACAUGGUAUUAUUUAUCAAACUCCUCACUCACCUUGAUCAAACGAUGUUGUUGAACAUAAGAACCAAAUAUGAAAGGAAAUGAUGAAUGUUAUAUUGAUAAGUUUUGGUUUACCCUAUAAUUUGGGAGGGGAAGCAAUUCUUUUGGCAUACUACAUUUGUGCUAAUGAUAUUAAUGCACAUGGAUUCCUUGUAUAUGCAUUAAACAUUUCUUUUUAAUUUGUGAAAAUACGAUCAUUGAAUCAAGAAAUACCUUUUUUUUUUAAGAACACAUUUCCCUAUAAAAGCAUAUCAGAGAAAAAUUAUCAAAAAAAGAACAUAUAAUAUUGAUAGUAAUAAUCAUCAAAACAUUGACAAACCUAAACAUAAUAAGUUUGAUUAUUUGACUUAUAUACAUUAAAGAAUGAACCCUAGAUAUUUAAAAAAUUAAUUUCUACAUGGUGUUUGCAUUUUUGGUUAAAUAGAAAAAGUUGAAAUAUUUAAUUUUUUCUAUUUAACUAAAAGUAAUCGAUUAAUGUAAUUAAAUUGAACCUAUUGAUAACAAACUCACUUUAAUUAUAUAGGUCAAUAUCAAUAGAUUACUUUAAGCUGAACAAUAAAAACUAAAAAUAAAUAAAUACUUACCUUUUUAUUCAAUCAAAAAACAAAUACGAUACUAAUAAGCCUUUUAGGUUAUAAAUGGAAUAUUAAUUGGAAAUUGAAAGUCGAAGGAGAAGGAUGUAAAAAUCACUAUUAAAAAUUUAGAUAAUUAUUUAGAGAUUCUUGAAUUGCAUUUGGUAGGUAUUUACUUUGUUAUAUAAUACAUUGUCAUCAAAAAUAUUUUUUUAUUAUUUAUAUUUAAAAUUAGAUUUUUUUUUUCAAACCAUUAAUGAUAAAAAUGUUAUUAUUAGAAGCGUUAUGUAUUAAAAUCCUUGACAAACAAUUUAUAACAAAAUGUUACUAUGAGAUUAAAUUCCUUUUCUUGAUGCAUCCUUGAUAAUGUAUCAUUAAUCCUCUUAUUUACUUCAAUCGAAUCAAUCCACCAAUGGUAUAGUUACUUUGAAUUGACCUCAAAUUGAAAUGCUAGAAUCAAAAUGGAUAGGUUACCCUUCUAUGAUACUAUCCCGUUUAUAUAAAUUAAUUUUCAUUGUCGUCUCAAUAAAAAAAUCUCAUACUCCCAUGGGGCCAUCCCAUUAAAUUAAAUUUUUUUAAUUAUAUUAAAAAUAAAUAUAUUUUAUAAAUAAACAUAUAUUAUAAUUUUUGUAACUUAUAUGAUCUGUCCAACUUUAUCUCUGAAUGAUAGAGUUUAAUAUUAAGAAAUCGUGUGUACAAUAAAAUUUGACAUUAAAAAAUGCAUAUAAAAUAGGAAUUUUCGUCGGACGUUUAAAGAUGGAGCGGAGCUGUCACCUAUAUCUAAUUUGAAAGCAAUGUGUAUUGUUCCAGGCUUCCAGCCAUGCAUCUACUGUGCAAACUACAAGUCUACACGGCUGGUGUUGAUGCCAGCCACGUAGUACUUGUAUCCAAGCUGGCCAUCCAUAGGAAUUUAGAAGGUGGGCAUGUUGGGCUUAUCCAUAGCCUGAUUCCGGAUAUUUCAUAUUUGUUUAAUCUUCUUCUCGGCUCAUUGAUUGGGUUGGGACUUGGGACCAAACUUUGUCUUCAGUCUCUGUGUGUUGGGACGCUUGACAGUUGUUGUUACUUAUUGACUGGGAGAAGAAGGAUGGACGAGUGUCACUGCAGAAUAUAAAAUAAAUCAUCCCCCACUUCAUCCAUUCUCUUCCAUAGUCCAGCUGUCCCAAAUAUCGGCUGUAAGCCUGUAACCACCGUCAAGUUCGCCAGCUGCCCCACUUAUUAUGUUGCCCAACUUCUUUCACAUAUUCCUAUGAGAUGGUAUUGGGUCCCAACACUAUUGAGUACGCCUACCGUCACUUCAACCAUGAAAAAUUCAAUUUUUAUUGAAUCUCAGGGUGUGGACUCUCAUGCUUUUGCUCCCCGAAGCCCAGCCCAAACCCGGUCUCACAUGCAAUUUAGUUCUCAACGUAUUUUCCUUCAAUAAGAGCCUUCGAUUUCUGAUGAGAAGAACCCCACCUCUACUCUCAGCAGUGAGUCAAAGGCCCACCAACCGUGUAGGUGGUCCAAAUAUGAAAUAUCAGAGACUGUGGAGCCCAGACUUGCACCAUCAUCCCUCUGUCUCUAUCUCCUUCGGCUUCUCUCCAAUCCCUUUUGGAAACCACUUUUCCCUUUUUAUCUUCUCCUGUGGCAUUGUCCUUGCCAACAGCUACCCAAAUGAAAUGAUGACCAGAACCUUCCAGCCCCUACGCUAUCUCCAUGAGCUGUUCAUCAGAAAGCGACACCCACUGGCCAAAGCAGACCUACAGGUGCCGAGCCAACUCAGGCACUCGUGGUCACCAAAUUAACCUCGGUAUUAGUCCUGAGUCAUGACCCCUCUCCACCGGAUCAUCUCCGGCAUUUCCGAGGAUAACCGCAGGCGGUGCAGCGUACCAAACGUUUGUGUCCCAUUAUUUUCUUGCUUGGAAACUGUUGACCGACACUGCAAAACUCUUGAACUCAGUUUCUUUCCGCAGUUCCAUCAACUUUGUAGACGCAUUGGGCUUUCCACGUACAUACUCCUGCAGCUGAGACCAGUUUAUUCAAAUUCUUAUACAUUAUCUAGGAGGAGGCAGAGCUAUAGUCAUGUUUUAAUCUAGUAGGAUAGGAGAUGACCCAUAAUCGAUCAUCAUAUAUAGACACGAUCAUCAUGUAGAAAUUGAGUGAGGAUGAGUUUUACACUUUUACUCACCUCUCGAAAGGCAUUCUUAAGGGGGAAUAAAAAAAACCAAAAUUAUGUUACCUUUAAUAACGUUUGUUCUCAAAAAUUGUUUUCAAAACUAUUUUUAUAGUGUUUUUUAAAACAAAAAUCAAUUUAAAAGCAUUAUCAAUAUACUUUUUAUACUGUCAAAUAUUAUUUAAAGACAAACUUUAUAUUAUAGUGUUUAUUUUUAACUUUUUUUAAUUUUCAUCUCAUUAUUAUUUUAAAAUAAAUUAUAAAAAUCAAAUAAAAAUAACUAAAAUAUAUUCUCCAAAACAUCAUAUUUUAUAUUUUCAAAAAUAAAACUCUCGAGAUAAAUAAUAUUUCCUUAACUUUCAUAUUAAACUUUAUUUUAAAUCAUAAGUUUUUUUCAACAAAAUCAUUCAAACAAACAUAAAAACUCCGAGUAAGCUUAAACAAGAGCUAGCUUCUCAAAACCGAUUUCCACCAUCUAAUUUCUUGCAUAUGUUUCAUAUUAAGCACUACUUGUAUUUUUCUAGUAAGACAAAAAGGUGCUUGCUAUCAAGUAUCAAGAACGAAGGUCUUUUAAGGUAAAACCCAAAAUACAGGCCCAAUUACAAAGUUCUGACAACUGUCAAAAGCCAUUUGAAAUCUGGACCAGUAAAACACUGCUGUUUUGGCGGCCCAAAGUUUGGACAUGAAGGAUGUGGAAGAGGCCUAUGGUUAAAUUAAAUAUAGAAGUGGGGGUGGGGAUGGCAUAUGGUAAUGUAAUAGGCUUACAUCAAUGCAAAAAGCUAACCAGGAGGAUUUUCCAAACCCAUUGCAUUAAUAACUCCUCCCAAAUGUUGGAGACAUUUUUAAUAUAAAUUUGUACUACUUAUUAAAAUAGGAGAUGUUUGUUAACUUUUUCUUUUCAAAUAUACCCUUAAGUACCAAGAAAAUCUAUCCAUAAAUUCAUUAAUAAAUAUUAAUUUAAUCUUAAAUUAAAUUUAUAUCAUUUUUUAAGGAAGCCGAUGAAAAUGAAAGAACAAAAAAAGGGAUAUUAGAGCCUUUCAAGCAUUAUGAUUUUUUUUUUUGAAAAGUUAACUUCUCUCUUUUACGAUUAUAAGAAUUUAAAUAUAAUUUAUGAGUUAUAUUUUAUUUGAAAUCAUAUUUUCACUUUAAUUAGUUUUAUAAAGAAUUUUUAUAGAUCUUAUGAUAUAUUUUUAUUUGUGCUUUUCUCUUAAUCGCAAACUUUGAUUUGUGUAAAAUUUUUUUUGCCCAAAACCACCCUAAUAAAAAUUUUUAAUUUUUUUUAUAAUACUAUAUAUAUAUAUAUAUAUAGAGGUUGAGAAUAAAAUUAUAAUUUUAAAACCAUGAUUUUAAUAUUAUAAAUAUUCAUUAGAUAAAAAAUAAUCUCUUAUAUAUACUAAGAUUUCAUUUGGAUAGUUUCAUGCUUUAACUUAGUUGAAAGCUAAAAUUUAAGACAAAGUUAUGAUUUUUAGAGAAAUAUUUUAAAUUUUUCACUAAAUAUGAAAAUUUUUAAUUUAUAAAUCCAAAUAAAACUUCCAAACCACCUUUUCCUACUUCCAUAUAUUCCUUAAUCAAUUUAAAAAUAAAACUCUUAAAUUUCCAAAAAUUGAUCCAAAUAGAGAAUAAAUUAAAUAUAUGUUUUUAUGGAAAUAAAUCUUCUAUUCCUCCUUUAAAUAAAUUUCUCAAAAUUUUAUAAUUUUCCAAUAUAUAUAUACAUGUUGACAGAUCAAAACUGAAAAUUCUUAAAAUAUAUGCAGAUUUUCUUCAAACAAUCAAUCAAAGCAAUAAACAAAGUCUAAGAGAUUCAGAGCAAAAGUCAUAACCUCUACAUUGGCAAUGAUCCUCCUUGUCAAGUCUACCUCUAACAAGUAAUGAUCCUAAAUUUGCUCCGGGCUGUAAGCCAAAAGUUUGGAAUAAACUAGUAAUGUUUUUCAAAACCCAUCCCAUCCGACGAGCUGGCAAAUCUUAAAACCAUUAUUCACGGAUCAUGGGAUCAUGGAUCAUUAAGCUGAAACCGUCACCGAAAAUAUCAAAUAAUUCUAUACUUAAUUUGACAUUGCAAACCAACCUAACCUUGAUGAGCCUCCUUCCUCAGCAUUUCCAGAGAGGGCAGCUCGCUGCGGUUCCACGUUUCCACGGGCAAAAAUUACACGUCACGUCUCACGGAGAGGGCUUCCGAGAAACAACUAGAAUGGAGCUUCUAAAUAUACAAUUGGAGCGACACGUGUCGAUCAUGGCACGCUCCUACCUCGAAAAGCGUUCCUAAGGUGCCCACUGUUCCUGUCACUAUCAAUUCUAAUCUAAAACGUUUAAUCAACUGCGGAGUUCUAGCCACGGAGGGUCUUGAUGAUGAUCAGAACUUCCAUCCAACGGCUCUGAUUUCACCUCUUGUUGCUGGGUCUGAGCUUCCUUCUCUGACUCCUCCUCUUCAUCUCUUCUGACGCGCUUCACGCCGAUGGAAACACCGAAUAAUCGUGGGCUUAAAUCGCCCUCGGCCUUGACGCCACUCUGUCCGGCUUCCACAGGCAACUGUCUCUCCGUCAACAAGUCCAGCGGCCUGCCUUCCGGAAUACCUCCUGCGUCAAUUUGGCCGGCGGCGUAGUUUGUCAUCAGAGCGAGUAUGUUAUUACACAAGCCCCUCAACUGCGUUAGUUCCUGAGUUAGUUGCGAGUUCUCCCUCCUGAGCCGUUCGUUCUCUUCUAGAAUCUCAGGCGUACUGGAGCAGCUUGAGGUGCGAUGCACCGUAACGGGUACGGUGGCGGGUGAUGAGUUCGAAGAGAGAACUUGUUCAUCGCCGGAAUUCGUCGGAGACACCGCCCGAGCAACAACGGGAAGGACUGCCGCAACCGUCACCGUCGUCGCUGCAGCGGCAGCCAUCGGCGAGAUUUUCCGGCGCUGUAUGUCUCGCAAAAGCGCUUUUUCUCCUUUGCGGAAGUAGUCGUUGGCGAACUCCCAUCGGUCGGGCACAACCUUACGAAAUCCCUGCAGAUUAAAAAGAGAAUAAACAAAUCAUUUAAUAAAGCAUACUUUCUAAACGGAAGAAAGAUCAAACCUUUAUCAUACGUUUGGUUUCACAGCAAUAGGAAGAAAUAGAAAGAAAGGAAAACUAGGAAUCCGCCAUAUUGUUAGAUUCCAAAUUUUCUUUUAUUUGGCCACAACUUCUAGUAGCAUUAUCAGUUUCACGUAUAAGCUUUUCCGGGAGGACACUUACAUAAGUGUUUAGCUGUCGAACGAAGCUUGAGAAGUUAUUGUGUUUGAAGUACUUCGGAAGCAAAUCCCUCGCAAAUUCAGCAGGUCGCCAAACGAUGAAGGUUGAUCCGUCUUCGUUCCACGAAAUAAGAUCGUCCACAGCCGGAUCGUCCACAAGCUGAUAUGUUUUCGUCAGAAACGGCGUCGGGAGCGAUCUCUGUGAUUCUCCGGCUAGUGAUUCGCCGGUCUGUUCAACCGGCAAUGGUGCCAUGAGCUUCGCUCUCAGAUCCGAACCCUAAGAAACUGGAACAUCUAUGAAAUUUACUUGUUUAGUCCUUCGACUAAAAUUUUUUACAUGCUCAAAUCAAAUUUACUAAAAACGAAAGAAAAUAUCCAACCUCUAUUUGCCCCUGAGAAAGGGCAAGAAAAUGUGAAAAAAAAAAGUUCAUUUUCCAAAUUAAAUUAGAAAAAUCCUAAAGAGAGAGGGAGAGAACAACUAUCGCCUAACUGAGCCCCAAUCAACCACGGUCAGUUAUUCACUUUGUCUAUGACCAGCAACAUAUCGCAUAACAUUCAAUAUUCCAUCUCCUACCUCUUGUUUUCUAUUUUCAUCACAGUUUUCUCACCAACCAAACAAACUACUUAAUCAAACUAGACUAUUUCUAUAGCAAAAAACUAUUAAAAUCAAAUAGAAUUACCUGAUAACCUAUGCUUACAUCCAAAAGAGGAAGAAACACCGAACCAGAAACGAUCGCCGGAAAAGAGAGGAGAGAGAAGGUUGGAGAGAGGUGGGUGUUUUUUUGUGCUGGUUCUAGAAGUUUCUGGGUGGAGUAAAUGAUGAAGAAAAAGAGAAUUCGUGAGUUCGAGAAGGAAAAGGAAAGAAAGGUGAGAAAUAAAAAAGAAAAAGGAAAAGGGAGGCAAAAAAAUUAAUAAUAAAAAGAGGUGGGGCCCACAAGCACACGAAGGAAGAGAGAGAAAGAUAAAAGGAUAGGAAGGUGCGAGAAGGCAGCAAUGGUGUUUUCCAGAAGCUUCGUUCUCUAUCAUUCAUUUUUUUUUCCUUUUUUUUUUGAAGAAUUUAACCGGUUGUCUUCUACGUGUCGGCCAUCUGAUGGAGUCCAAGCUUAAACUCAAGAUAAGGAUGUUGAGACUUGAGUGGAUGGAUGGGGUCCGAUUCACUCACCCGGUGGUGAAGUACACAUGAUUAUGCCCCCAAAUUCUAACCUUACCAUCUUUGCCACGUGUGAAAGGAAUGUGAUUGAUUGUUUUAUUCAUCCUACUUAUGACAUUGAAUGGUUACUUUUGAUUAAGCCUUUUGCCUCUGUAUUAAAUUUUUAUAUUUGUAAUUUUUUUUUAUACUUACAUAUGAUAACACAAUGACACCGUAUAAUGUUAUUCAAAAGUAAACGUGGCCGUAUCUACUUUAUACUCUCAAAUUAUAAUUUGAAUGACCAUAAUUUUGACUUUUUUUUUUUUAUGAAAAAAUUAAGGCUUUUAAAAUUUAUGGUUGGGUAAAUUGAUGUUUUAAGUUUGAUUAAGAUUGAUAGUGCAUGGGACCAUAUAAAUGUACGACUUUAUAUAAGAUUUAACGUGAUGACUUACAAGUGUAGACAAAAGAAAAGUGAAAAAAUAGACAAAUCACUUAUAAGUGUCGGACCAUUUUAAAGUUUAUUAUUGAAUUUAAUCUCUUUUUAUUCACAUCUAACUCAAAUAAAAUAUAUCAUUUUUGAGUGAAAAAUCUUCUUUUAAUUUAUAUGGAACUUUUUAAUAAAUAAAUUAUAUUUGUAAAUAACUUGGUUAUUGUACGUAGAAGUCUAAGAUUGUCGAUAAAGAUCAUAUCAGACGUUGAUAAUUUCAUUUUUAGUUGGAAAUAUGAUGAUAUUCUCCCAAAACUCAAUGUUGUAUCAAACAAACAUGAGGAAAGGGUUGGUGCAGCAAUUAUGAGAUUCCUUUCUGAACAAUCGCAAAGAGGAAUGAUGAGUUGCUUUAAAAUAGAAAGGAUCCAAGAUUUUGUAAAUAAUAGAGACCCAAUGCAUUCAUAUGAUUUUCC